rnacentral:rRNA from 1 species
GAUGAACGCUGGCGGCGUGCCUAAUACAUGCAAGUCGAGCGAACAGACGAGGAGCUUGCUCCUCUGACGUUAGCGGCGGACGUGUGAGUAACACGUGGAUAACCUACCUAUAAUACUGGGAUAACUUCGGGAAACCGGAGCUAAUACCGGAUAAUAUAUUGAACCGCAUUGUUCAAUAGUUAAAUACGGUUUUGCUGUCACUUCUAGAUGGAUCCGCGCCGCAUUAGCUAGUUGGUAAGGUAACGGCUUACCAAGGCAACGAUGCGUAGCCGACCUGAGAGGGGGAUAGGCCACACGGGAACUGAGACACGGACCAGACUCCUACGGGAGGCAGCAGUAGGGAAUCUUCCGCAAUGGGCGAAAGCAUGACGGAGCAACGCCGCGUGAGUGAUGAAGGUCUUCGGAUCGUAAAACUCUGUUAUUAGGGAAGAAAAAAUGUGUAAGUAACUAUGCACGUCUUGACGGUACCUAAUCAGAAAGCAACGGCUAACUACGUG